GGGCUUUCUGUGGCAGUACAUAGACAAAAAUUGGAAUAAUAUAGAGAAUAUUAGCUUGGCCUUUGUGCAAGGAUGACACACAAAUUCAUGAAGCAUUCCAUAUAUAU
ensembl:snRNA U6 U6 spliceosomal RNA